rnacentral:ncRNA from 1 species
CAUUAGUGAGAAUCCAAUGCCCCAAAAACCCAAGGUUUCCUCCGCAAGGUUCAUCCACGGAGGGUGAGCCAGGGCCUAAGAUCAGGCCGAAAGGCAUAGUCGAUGGACAAUAGGUCACUAUUCCUAUACUACCCCUUGUUGGUACGGAAGGACGGAGGAGGCUAGGUUAGCCGAAAGAUGGUUAUAGGUUUAAGGAAAGCUAGUUAUAUGAGAUCGAAAUCACUCUAUCUAUGAUAUUCAUUGCAAAACACUGACGUUUCCGCUUGCUUUCAACCACUGCCACUUUACCUGAGCACUGUGACGCAGUCAGUCAAGUAUUGAGUUUCUGCUAGUAUAUCAAGGACUUAUGAGAACUGAAAAAAG